UAUCGAUAUGGUUUAAUGUUGCGUUACGUGACCCAUUCCUUCUGUAAAGCCGUGCCUGUGUUUGGAUCUCUCUCCGCGCAGCCCCGCCCCAAUUCACUCACACACGGCACCCCUGCAGCAUGGAAAAACACAGC